rnacentral:rRNA from 1 species
UAUCAAUAAGCGGAGCAAAAGGGUCCCUGCCUUGCACUAGGUAGGAACACUGAGAGCACCCUGUCUUGGAUUUGGCCUCUUCGUCUAUGUUCCUUGGAACAGGACGUCACAGAGGGUGAGAAUCCCGUGCGAUGAGGUGUCCAUUUCUAUGUAAGAUGUUUUCGAAGAGUCGAGUUGUUUGGGAAUGCAGCUCUAAGUGGGUGGUAAAUUCCAUCUAAAGCUAAAUAUUGGCGAGAGACCGAUAGCGAACAAGUACAGUGAUGGAAAGAUGAAAAGAACUUUGAAAAGAGAGUGAAAAAGUACGUGAAAUUGUUGAAAGGGAAGGGUAUUAGAUCAGACUUGGUAUUUAGUUAUCAUUACUCCUUGUGGGUGGUGCUCUAACUUUUUACUGGGCCAGCAUCAGUUUUGGUGGCAGGAUAAUGACAUUUGAAUGUGGCUCCUCGGAGUGUUAUAGCUUUUGUUGAUACUGCCUAUCGGGGACUGAGGUCUGCGGCUUUUGCCUAGGAUGCUGGCGUAAUGAUCCAAUACC